CGCUGGCGGCGGGCCUAACACAUGCAAGUCGAACGAGAAUUUUCCCUUCGGGGAAAUAGUAAAGUGGCGCAGGGUGAGUAACACGUGAAUAAUCUGCCUACGAAUCCGGGAUAACGCGGCGAAAGCUGUGCUAAUACCGGAUAAGACCACGUCUCUUAUGUGAUGUGGCCAAAGGAGUCUCAAACUCCGUUUGUAGAUGAGUUCGCGGACCAUUAGCUUGUUGGAGGGAUAACAGCCCCCCAAGGCGACGAUGGUUAGCCGGCCUGAGAGGGUGAUCGGCCACACUGGAACUGAGACACGGUCCAGACUCCUACGGGAGGCAGCAGUGGGGAAUAUUGCGCAAUGGGCGAAAGCCUGACGCAGCAACGCCGCGUGAGGGAUGAAGGAUUUUGGUUCGUAAACCUCUGUCAAGUGGGAAGAAUACUGACGGUACCACUAAAGGAAGCCCCGGCUAACUCCGUGCCAGCAGCCGCGGUAAUACGGAGGGGGCAAGCGUUGUUCGGAAUCAUUGGGCGUAAAGAGUAUGUAGGCGGCUAUUUAAGUCAGACGUGUAAGCCCACGGCUCAACCGUGGAAUUGCGUUUGAAACUAUUUAGCUUGAGUACAGGAGAGGAAGGCGGAAUUCCCAGUGUAGCGGUGAAAUGCAUUGAUAUUGGGAAGAACACCGGUGGCGAAGGCGGCCUUCUGGUCUGUUACUGACGCUGAGAUACGAAAGCCAGGGGAGCGAACGGGAUUAGAUACCCCGGUAGUCCUGGCCGUAAACGAUGGGCACUANGUGCGGGAGGUAUCGAUCCCUUCCGUGUCGCAGCUAACGCAUUAAGUGCCCCGCCUGGGGAGUACGGUCGCAAGGCUGAAACUCAAGGAAUUGACGGGGGCCCGCACAAGCGGUGGAGCAUGUGGUUUAAUUCGACGCACGCGAAGACCUUACCUGGUUUGACAUGUACGGGACAGCCUAUGAAGUANUUUCUCUUCGAGUCCGUAUGCNGUGCUGCAUGGCUGUCGUC
rnacentral:rRNA from 1 species